rnacentral:rRNA from 1 species
GACGAACGCUGGCGGCGUGCCUAAUACAUGCAAGUAGAACGCUGAAGAGAGGAGCUUGCUCUUCUUGGAAGAGUUGCGAACGGGUGAGUAACGCGUAGGUAACCUGCCUUGUAGCGGGGGAUAACUAUUGGAAACGAUAGCUAAUACCGCAUAACAAUGGGUGACCCAUGUCAUUCAUUUGAAAGGGGCAACUGCUCCACUACAAGAUGGACCUGCGUUGUAUUAGCUAGUAGGUGAGGUAACGGCUCACCUAGGCGACGAUACAUAGCCGACCUGAGAGGGUGAUCGGCCACACUGGGACUGAGACACGGCCCAGACUCCUACGGGAGGCAGCAGUAGGGAAUCUUCGGCAAUGGGGGCAACCCUGACCGAGCAACGCCGCGUGAGUGAAGAAGGUUUUCGGAUCGUAAAGCUCUGUUGUAAGUCAAGAACGAGUGUGAGAGUGGAAAGUUCACACUGUGACGGUAGCUUACCAGAAAGGGACGGCUAACUACGUGCCAGCAGCCGCGGUAAUACGUAGGUCCCGAGCGUUGUCCGGAUUUAUUGGGCGUAAAGCGAGCGCAGGCGGUUUGAUAAGUCUGAAGUUAAAGGCUGUGGCUCAACCAUAGUUCGCUUUGGAAACUGUCAAACUUGAGUGCAGAAGGGGAGAGUGGAAUUCCAUGUGUAGCGGUGAAAUGCGUAGAUAUAUGGAGGAACACCGGUGGCGAAAGCGGCUCCCUGGUCUGUAACUGACGCUGAGGCUCGAAAGCGUGGGGAGCGAACAGG